UUUAAUUUAAAUAUUUUUUUUGUUAAUUUCAUACGAGUCAUAUAUAGAGCUUGAAGCACCACAAUAUUGUUUUCCUACCGAAGAAGCUCCUCGUAAUGAAAAUUGACCUAAAUUCAUUGAAUUUUACUUAUACAAAUCCUUGGUAAUAGUUCAAAUGUGAGACUCCUGUUCUACCUUCAAGUGAUGGAUCCUAGCAAUUAGGGGUGUUCAUGGAUCGGAUUCGAUCCGUAUAU
rnacentral:lncRNA from 1 species